CGAACGCUGGCGGCAUGCCUAACACAUGCAAGUCGAACGCGACCUUCGGGUCUAGUGGCGCCCGGGUGCGUAACGCGUGGGAACCUGCCCUUAGGUUCGGAAUAACUCCCCGAAAGGGGUGCUAAUACCGGAUAAUGUCUUCGGACCAAAGAUUUAUCGCCUUUGGAUGGGCCCGCGUUGGAUUAGCUAGUUGGUAGGGUAAAAGCCUACCAAGGCGACGAUCCAUAGCUGGUCUGAGAGGAUGAUCAGCCACACUGGGACUGAGACACGGCCCAGACUCCUACGGGAGGCAGCAGUGGGGAAUAUUGGACAAUGGGCGAAAGCCUGAUCCAGCAAUGCCGCGUGAGUGAUGAAGGCCUUAGGGUUGUAAAGCUCUUUUACCCGGGAUGAUAAUGACAGUACCGGGAGAAUAAGCUCCGGCUAACUCCGUG
rnacentral:rRNA from 1 species